rnacentral:rRNA from 1 species
ACCGCCGAAGUUGUGGCAGCAUCACGAUACUGUAAUGGUGUGGUGUUGGGUAGGGGAGCGUCGUGUCGCCAGUGAAGUCGCCGUGUGAACGAGUGGUGGAGGCGUCACGAGUGAGAAUGCAGGCAUGAGUAGCGAAAGACGGGUGAGAAACCCGUCCACCGGAUGACCAAGGGUUCCAGGGCUAGGCUAAUCCGCCCUGGGUAAGUCGGGACCUAAGGCGAGGCCGACAGGCGUAGUCGAUGGACAACCAGUUGAUAUUCUGGUACCGACACACAACCGACAAUACCAAAACACAUGACACUAAC